GCUGUCAGGUGCACAACCACAGGUCAGGUCUACACUGUCAGCUGUCAGGUGCACACCCACGGGUCAGGUCUACACUGUCAGGUGCACACCUGCAUGUCAGGUCUACACUGUCAGGUGCACAUCCACAUGUCAGGUGUACACUGUCAGGUGCACACCCAUGGGUCAGGUCUACAUGGCCAGGUGCACACCCGAGUGUCAGGUCUACACUGUCAGGUGCACACCCAUGGGUCAGGUCUACAUGGUCAGGUGCACACCUGCAUGUCAGGUGUACACUGUCAGGUACACAUCCACAUGUCAGGUCUACACUGUCAGCUGUCAGGUGCACACCCGCGGGUCAGGUCUACAUGGUCAGGUACACACCCGAGUGUCAGGUCUACACUAUCAGCUGUCAAGUGCACACCUGCAUGUCAGAUCUACAAUGUCAAGUGCACACCCACGGGUC